UACGUAGGGUGCGAGCGUUGUCCGGAAUUAUUGGGCGUAAAGAGCUCGUAGGCGGCUUGUCGCGUCGACUGUGAAAACCCGUGGCUCAACCAUGUGGUCUGCAGUCGAUACGGGCAGGCUAGAAUUCGGUAGGGGAGACUGGAAUUCCUGGUGUAGCGGUGAAAUGCGCAGAUAUCAGGAGGAACACCGGUGGCGAAGGCGGGUCUCUGGGCCGAUAUUGACGCUGAGGAGCGAAAGCGUGGGGAACGGACAGG
rnacentral:rRNA from 1 species